GUUACCUCAACGGACGCUGUUCACAUACCAUCCACCUCGACUUUCAAAAAUUUCUCUGUGGCUGUUCCUUUCUAUCGCCCCCUUGAACUGCGGAAUCACUCGGCGAGGGUUGGCCAGCGCCCCGCUGCUUGCUGUGAAUUAGCGAGAGGGUCACGAUCACUAAAAAAUGUGAACAACGUCAUUUCUGGCCACAAUACAAUGGUAUGAAGGGACCUUUGGCAAGUCAGAGAUUGAUCGUUUGUGGAGAGGAAUUGAGAGACAACAUAAUACAUAUCAUAGUAUUUUCAUGUAUUAUUCAACGUUGGAGGGAGUCGGUUGGAUAUUUUUCAAAAGCAACUGGAAUUACCGGUGGGGGAGAACACAAACACAUUUUCUAGGCGGAGGUUUUUGGAUCGGGCCCUUUCGAGGGUAGCCAUGAUGAAAGCUGGGUGUAUUCGAUCGAGGGGGAAAGUAAAGUUCGGGGAACAAAUGUUUUACCUGAAGCGGUGCAGAUUAGUGAGAGCUGAAAGGAUUGGUGAAACGUACAUGUAGUCGUGCAAAUUUUAAAGCUUUGUAUUGGGAAUAUGUGAAGAGACUUAUUGAAGACUUUACCACGAAAUUAUCACAAGAAUUCACACCGGAAGUCUUCCACAAUUGUCACCCAUUUUACGUCAACCCCAUCGUACAUUCGGCACAAAAACGAAAGAAACAAAUCGAAUGGGCUGUACAAAAAAAAAUUCCACCAAAACGCAACUUCGACAAAUUAAUUUUUGACAAAAGAAGGAUUUGAGGAUCUGGAAAGUGACUUUAUGCUGUCAUGUCAUGCGUGUUGUAUACAUAUCAACUUUUCCCUUAUCACCCACGUGCACAUACACUGGCAUAUUCCAUACUCUGAUUUUUCAGACAAUCUCCCAUCGUUUCCUCGAAAAUUAAUGAAUGGAAAAUCCUUCAUGGUCUCGAAGCUAUUCCUCCACUCACAAAACCAAAAAAUAAAGAACUAAAAAAGCAAUAAAAAUAUCCGCAUUAUUCACUCACACAUUCGAAUACAUAUUGGCAAGUGUGAAAUGACGAAUACCGGGUGGGGGUGGAGAAAGCUCCUGGGAAAAGGAAAAAUAAGAGUGGAAAAAAAAUUUUACUCAGCUCGUAUAACGCGAAUAUCCUAUCUUCCCCUCGGUGGUGUAGAAUGACAUUGGGUCUGGGGGGUUGGUGUGGCGCCGAAGAUUAUAUGCGCAAGGAAAAUAAGAGGAGUGCCCUGAGCCGUUCCAAAAUCACGAGGAAUAUCAUGUCUGGCCAAAAGCUUGGCUCGAAUCUAUCUUCAACCGCAUCUAUACUGUAUAAACCUUGGUAAAAAGUAUUGUAGGUCGG